CUCGAAGUUGUGUAAUGGUAGCACGCUUAUUCACAUGCAGUACGUUAGUAUUGUACCCUUUAGGGGGGAAGAGGACUAGGUUCGAUCCCUAGCUUCGAGA